AGUCGACGAAGCACCUUGAUUUGAUUCUUCGGAUGAAGAUCUUGGUGACUGAGUGGCGGACGGGUGAGUAACGCGUGGGUAACCUGCCUCAUACAGGGGGAUAACAGUUAGAAAUGACUGCUAAUACCGCAUAAGACCACAGCACCGCAUGGUGCAGGGGUAAAAACUCCGGUGGUAUGAGAUGGACCCGCGUCUGAUUAGGUGGUUGGUGGGGUAACGGCCUACCAAGCCGACGAUCAGUAGCCGACCUGAGAGGGUGACCGGCCACAUUGGGACUGAGACACGGCCCAAACUCCUACGGGAGGCAGCAGUGGGGAAUAUUGCACAAUGGGGGAAACCCUGAUGCAGCGACGCCGCGUGAGCGAUGAAGUAUUUCGGUAUGUAAAGCUCUAUCAGCAGGGAAGAAAAUGACGGUACCUGACUAAGAAGCACCGGCUAAAUACGUGCCAGCAGCCGCGGUAAUACGUAUGGUGCAAGCGUUAUCCGGAUUUACUGGGUGUAAAGGGAGCGUAGACGGAGUGGCAAGUCUGAUGUGAAAACCCGGGGCUCAACCCCGGGACUGCAUUGGAAACUGUCAAUCUGGAGUACCGGAGAGGUAAGCGGAAUUCCUAGUGUAGCGGUGAAAUGCGUAGAUAUUAGGAGGAACACCAGUGGCGAAGGCGGCUUACUGGACGGUAACUGACGUUGAGGCUCGAAAGCGUGGGGAGCAAACAGGAUUAGACACCCUGGUAGUCCACGCCGUANACGAUGACUACU
rnacentral:rRNA from 1 species